UACGGAGGGUGCAAGCGUUGUCCGGAUUUAUUGGGUUUAAAGGGUGCGUAGGUGGCCUUAUAAGUCAGCGGUGGAAGUCUGCAGCUUAACUGUAGAACUGCCAUUGAUACUGUAAGGCUUGAGUACUGAUGAGGUAGGCGGAAUUGAUAGUGUAGCGGUGAAAUGCAUAGAUAUUAUCAAGAACACCGAUUGCGAAGGCAGCUUACUAAGGAGUUACUGACACUGAGGCACGAAAGCGUGGGGAUCAAAU
rnacentral:rRNA from 1 species